GCUUUGGCAUCUUAUCUUAGAAGAGAAAAUCUGAUAUCCGAUACAAGAAUUAAGGUGGAGGAGAAGUUGGCAUUUUUCCUGUACAUGGUGUCUCACAAUGCAUCUUAUGAAGAUCUCCAGCUAGAAUUUCAGCAUAGUGGACAAACAUUUCAUGAGUACAUCAAUGAGUUCUUCAACAUCAUCCCCAUCUUAGCUAGUCGAUUUCUAAAUCCUCCGAACAUUGAUGAGCCACAUCCAAAAAUCUCCACCGACACAAGAUUUUAUCCUUACUUCCAGAACUGUUUAGGAGCCAUUGAUGGGUCACAUGUUCCUAUAACCGCAACACCUGGGAUUGCUGCUCCAUUUCGGAAUAGGAAGGGUACCUUGAAUCAUAAUAUUAUGGUUGCAUGCGACUUCGAUUUAAAAUUCACUUUCAUAUCAUGUGGCUGG
rnacentral:rRNA from 1 species